AUCUUCUAUGUAAAAUUUGACACCGAAUUGGCCAACCUCAAUGGACGGGGCGUUACAGGAGAGAGUUCAAGCUUAAAUUGAGUGAAUUGUAUGAUCAAUUGAGGGCAAGAAAUCACGAACUAGAGUCGUAAUUAUAUUUAGUGAGUAAAUGGAGACAAGUAGGACAAGCUAAGAGACAACGUACUACGACAGAGCCAUGGAUGACUUAAGGACCAUGCUCAGCAGCAGGCCAGCAGCAGCAAGCAAACAAAUCCAGCCCCGCAGAAAUUCGGGGAUUCGGUUGAUCGCACACAGGGCAUAAAGCGCAGGCAACCACACGACCCAGCGGGCGGGCGGGCGGGCGGGCGAGCGAGGCAGGUGAGGGGCUUACCGGCGAGUUCCGGCUCGUUCCCGCCCGACGCCGCCAUCCCGGCGACCGACGGAUGGGGUCGGAGGAUGGACGAACUCGCCUGCCACGGGAGCGGGCUGGUGGGUCGACAGGCCGAGCGCCGACGGCCGGACCAGUCCCGUCGAAGCGGGCGGACGACCAAACGGAGGGCAGCGUAGGUGCGCGGCGGCGGAGAGGGGGUUGUCGGUUUGCUCGAUCGAGCAGCGUCGGAGUCGGAGACGACGUCCCAAUUUGGCAACUUGGUUUCGAUUUUGGGCGGCUUGUGGCCACCAAAAGCUGGAAUCCGAACCAAACGCUCAGCUUCGAGACGGCUUUUGGUGGAAGCGCCUCCGUCCACAGCCCAUUUACCACAGACCACGAGAAGCCAACCGAAGUCCGUGUCUUCAGGAAGUCGGAUGACUUCUCGCAUUCCACACGGGUGAUUCCUUCGUCCCCAACCCUAAGGUUUCGGCAACCUGUCGUUCCCGUGUCUCCGCCGCCACUUCGGACGGUCUAGCUCCACCAUCGUCCGCCCAUCGCCACGGUGAAUCCAAGGUUGCAUUUUCGCGAUACGCUUCGAAUCCGUUCGUUGAUCCCGAUAGUUCACGUUGCUAGUGGCCAGUAUGUCGUUUCCAUCCUUCAAUCCUCAUUUCUCGAUUGGAUAUGAUUCAAAUCGAACCGUAUUUUGUUUAUUUGGCCCCUCACUGCUCCCUUUGAUUCGUUUCUAAGAGAA